GCCGUUGCUCAGUGGUAGAACAUGUGAUUUGCAUGCACAAGGUCCCAAGUUCAAACCCCAGCUUCUCCA